UCCUAUAUAAAACUUAUUAAUUUAGUCUAAUUUUUUUUAAAAGCCAAAUAUUACGAUUUUGUUAAGAUUUUGUUGCUUUAGUUUCAUUUUGUGGCACUAAUUUAAUUGAAUUUUGUUCUUAGCAGUUUUUAUCCAAAAGCAUAUUCUUUGCUUAAGAUCUAGAUCCCCACUUCGUCUCCUUUUAUUUUCUAUUCAAACUCCCACUUCGUCUCUUCAACUAGACUUCUUUUAGGAGUUUACUUGUUAUUAAAAACCGAUAAAUCAACAAACCAUCAAACUUUUUUUCUUACGUGAGUAAUCGUCCCAUUGGCACACCAUUGGUGGCAUGGACCAUUUUGUUUCUUAUAUGAUGACGACGAUUCUGUUUCCAACGAAUUCGAUGGCAAUAUUUUAAAAGAGAAAUUGACUUCAACAGAAGCAUAAGGCCUUUGGAGGAGGAAAUUACUUCUGGUCAGGUGUUGAUGUAUUCUCCAGGAAAAAUGGCUAAUCAAGAGCGUCCAUAAAUAUAUGAGUCAAAGAGAAGAUGAAAUUAUACAAGAAGAAAAGAAAGAAGAAUCUCGAGUGAAGAGUUUUCAUGGCUUGUUUUACAAUCUUUUUCUUUCUUUCAGUUCAUUUUUUCUUGAGACUUAUCUGUAUAUAUUUUAAUGUAUAUAUUUUAAUGUUUUUUGUCCUUUAUAUUUGUAUUUUCAAUAAAAAAAUUAUGAAUACAAAAAUAUUUUAUAUA